CAGGCUCAGGGUUGCUCAUGCAACCCUAAUUCCCCAUGAUAUCAUCUUCACUUACUCUGUCACAACCUAUUUCUUCCACUGAAGCCUGUCUCAGCUGAGGAGAGGUGGUGCUCACUUACUGAGCAGCUCUUGCAGACACUUGGCUCCUGAUUGCUCCACACACAGCCCCAGGCAUGAGCUCCUGCUGGCUUUGAGCUUCCUUGGGUUUUCCUUGUGCCUGUUGCUGCCAGAUAUCUGGGUUGGAAUGGAUGCUCUGAGUUCCUCCACUCUGUGCCAUGUCUUCCUUGGAAUAGAUAAUUGUGACUUUGAAUUCCAACCUAAGGAAGUCUUGCCCACUAUGCAAACUACUUAUUCAAAGGCAGAUGAACUAUAAAGUUUUACAUCCUUGAUAUCUGGGACAUACUGAGAGAGAGGAGGAACUGCAAGUUUUAACAAAUAAUUAUCUUCCCUACUUCCCCUGGGCUGACCUCUUUCCUUUCUGCUCCAAAUAGGCUAAAUGAGCCUUUCUCCCCCAAAAAGGGAUUAACC
rnacentral:lncRNA from 1 species